rnacentral:rRNA from 1 species
UACAGAGGGGGCAAGCGUUGUUCGGAAUUACUGGGCGUAAAGGGCGCGUAGGCGGCCUGCUAAGUCGAACGUGAAAUCCCCGGGCUCAACCCAGGAACUGCGUCCGAUACUGGUUGGCUUGAAUCCGGGAGAGGGAUGUGGAAUUCCAGGUGUAGCGGUGAAAUGCGUAGAUAUCUGGAGGAACACCGGUGGCGAAGGCGACAUCCUGGACCGGUAUUGACGCUGAGGCGCGAAAGCCAGGGGAGCAAACGGG